GAAUCCCUCUACCUCAGUGCCAUCAGCAAGGAGCACAGCAGACCUCCAUCCCAGCUGCUUUCUACUGCCAAAGCCAAAGAUGUUCAGAGCUGUGAUGCCCCAACUGACUGGAGAUCAAAGCCAAAGGCAGCUCCAAAUGGACCAAGACUCAACCGGCGGAUGCCUCCUGCCUCCCCCAUAGUGUUUGACUGCCUCAGAGUGCAUCCUCUCACUCUAUCCCCAGUCCUCACCAGUCCCAAGGAGUGCUGUGCCUAAACCAACCUCCCCUGAAAUGCUAUGCUCUUACUUUGAGUUCCUCAGAUGAUCGUUCUUUUAGCUUUGUUUGCACCUACUGUA